rnacentral:misc_RNA from 1 species
GCGAAGUUCAGUGUAGUGUAUAUUUCAUGUUUUGAUAAAUUGGUGUAUUGUACAAUUUAUACUCCAGUAAACACGUUUUAUACUCAACAUGGAUUUAUAAAUUCACCGACAUUUUGUAAAAAGGAAAAAUAAAAACAUAUGGAUGUACUAAUAGAAGAUCCAACAUUUCCGGCCGUGUUGGAUCAUGAUUUUGGAUUUGACAAUGAUGGCCUUGAAAUCGACAACUUUGAUCUAGAGAAGUACAUCAACGAUGAUGUGUGCCUGCCAGAGGAGGCCAUCUCUGCCAUUGCCUACAACCACCCUCACUCUAACGGUAAUGGGUUCAAGAUCAACAACUUGCACUUGCGGGGCCUCGGCUCCCAGCUCGGCCCGCAGCAGACAAGUAUAUCACAGACUCAAGCCCAGAGUUCCCCACCAAACAGUAUGUACUGUAGCCAGCAACAACAGAGGCAACCAAACAUAAACACAAGUUUACCAUAUAUGGACAAUCAUCCUAUGUUGCACACGACAUUACCAGACAGCCCUCCGGACUCAGAACCGUACUCCCCUCCAGACGGGCAUCCACACACAAACGGACAGACAAAUCACCAUGGACACACUAACAACCACACUCACACAAACAAUCACCAUAAUACUCAUCAAGAAAACUCGAAGUACACAGUGACAUCAACACCGUCAACCAUGUAUCACGCUCACCACAGACCUCCGGGGAUGACGCAGCCAAAGACCCUCGUCACAAUGCCCGGGUACCAUGAGCCCCCAUUGCUCAACCAUCUACCCCCCACCUCACAUCAGCCCCAGCUUCCUCCUGUAAGCAUGCCCCUGAAUGUACCCCCACAAUCAGGCAUGAACCCUCAAAUACUCACUCCAGGAAAUCUCAGCCCACAAAGCAAAAAGCGUAAGCACAUGGACUCACCCAAUCCGGGUAUGAUGUUUAGUAGAAAUGGACUCAUCCCAAAUAUCAAACAGGAACCUAAUGGUAAGUCAUUAGCAUACUCAAACUCGAGUUACCUGCCCGAUUGUGAUGAUGACGGUUAUAGUAACUAUGACCCAGAUUCCAGUAACGGGUAUGACAAUGGUGUUUAUCAAGUGAUCAAAUGGCAGAAAUACGAUGACAAUAGAUGGGCAACACUAACUGAUGCAAAUUUGAAAGACUUACCUGCACCACAGUUCAGAGUAGAUGCAGACAAAGGCUUUAAUUUUUCUGUGUCCGAUGACUCGUUUGUCUGUCAGAAAAAGAAUCAUUUCCAAAUUACAUGUCACAUUGGCAUCACAGGUGACCCGAAAUAUGUGCGCACACAUGAGGGCGUGAAGAAAAUAGACCAUUACUGCCUGCACUUUAAUGGAAUAAAGUUGGAGUCCCCGAGUCAAACUAUCAAAAUAGAGCAGUCCCAGUCAGAUAGAAGCAAAAAACCUUUUAAACCAGUCAGAGUAGAUGUGUUACCAGACAACGUGUCAAAAUUGACAGUUGGACGCCUACACUUUAGUGAAACAACUUCAAAUAAUAUGAGAAAGAAAGGGCGACCGAAUCCAGACCAGCGAUAUUUCCAGUUGGUUGUAGCCCUGCAUGCACAUUCAGGGGACAAUAGUUACUUGGUAGCUGGAAGUGUGUCUGCAAAAAUAAUAGUGAGGGUUGUGUUCUCAAUAUCAUUUCAGGCAUCAAACCCAGGUCAGUUUGACAGUGAUAUGGAGGCUACUCACUGGACCAAGGGCUCAACCCCAGACUCUGUUUAUCAUAUAGGGCGUGUAGGGGUGAACACGGACCAUCCAGAUGAAGCUUUAACUGUGCAUGGCAAUAUUAAAUUAUCUGGACAAAUUCUACACACUUCAGAUGUUAGGGCAAAACAAGAUUUUGAAGAGGUUGAUUCCAAAGAACAGCUUAAAAAAGUCUCGGGUAUUAGGAUCUACAAUUACCAAUACAGCGAGGAUUAUGCAGAUCACGUUGGUAUGCCAGAAGAUAAGCGGAAUGAUACGGGUGUUAUCGCACAAGAGAUACAGGAAGUACUGCCAGAUGCAGUUAUAGACACUGGGGAUGUUCAAUUUGAAAAUGGCAAUGAGAUUAAAAAUCUACUGGUUGUAAAUAAGGAUCGUAUAUUUAUGGAGAAUGUUGGUGCUGUGAAAGAAUUGUGUAAACUAACAGAUAAUCUUGAAGUUCGAAUUGAUGAACUCGAGAAAAUGAACACCAAAUUGUCAAAGUUGAAGAGAUUUGACAGUCUUAAAUCUACAGUCAGCUCAAAGUCCAGUUGUAGUAACAGUACUGUGAAUAGUUCAGUGCCACCAAAGAAGCCACACAAAACUCAUCGGCCAAAGAUAACACCACCUCCACAACCAGCUCCUGCUCAAACUUCCACCUGGUGUAGCAAUCGUUUCAUACAAAUUACCAUUAUCAUUCUCAUUUGCAUUAUGGCUUUCUGUCUCAUUGCAAUAACAAUAUUAUAUAUACUGGAACGGCAGAAGGAUAACUCCGGUGAUACCUUUCAUACAACAAAUCAUAUAUAUCCAGACAGAAAAAGGCCAUUGUCUCAUACUGUAUCAAGCAGUGGGACAAAUAGUACAGGGCAUAAAGGGAGUUCACCCCAGCAUGUACGUCCUACUAACCCCACCAGUACGAGGUUCAAUCCUCCGGAGGACAAUACAACACCAGUAUCAGGACCAGCGGAUAUUCUUCAAGCCCCGUGUGGGCCGCCAGACUGUGAAGAACAGUGCUGUGGACCCCAGAGUGACCAGGGUGUUGACACAAGUGGAUAUUCCCAGUUCCUGGAAGACAUAGGACAGAGGAUUCUACAGUCAACAAACGCCCCAUACACCAUCAUCAACAAUAACAGUGGACAAGGGCAGGGAGAUGCUCCCACAACAUCAGCAUCAGACAAAAUUCAGGUUGUAAUCAACCAAAAUGGUCAGUUCAUGGGAACUGGGAUGGGUAAAAAUGACCAGUCAAACAGUAUACCAGGAGGUCCUUAUUACAGGCGUCGCCGGAGAAAUACACAGCCAGAUCCAAAUGCAGCCUUCCUGGCCCAGAUAUCGAUUCCGGAGUUGAAUUUUACAUUGACUGAACAAUACAAAGAUGUGGAGUUCUCCAUGCAAAACAACUUUACCUACAACAUUUUAUACAGCAAAUAUUUUGAUAUGAGGAUGUACACAUUGAAGUUUGGGGUGGCAGAUAAUCUGAAUGUUCACAUGUGUCACCACGGUGUUACUAGACUUUGUGAUACAAACCUAGAUACAGAGGUAGAUUUGCCUGAUGUUGCUGUGGAGUGGAAGAUUCCAAUUGGUCGAUACCACUCUAGUUUCCUAAGGUUUAGAGUAACAACACAGGAUAAUACAAAUGUAUGUGUGCAGCCAGGUGAAGAAUCAGUUGGUAUUUAUGUAGAAUAUAACAUCCUUUUCGCAAGAAGUUGCAGCUAAACAUUGGAAAAAAUCCUGCUGUUUGCAAAAUACAUCCAGGAUUUGUACAGUUUGAAGUAGUUAUACGGUGACAUAUGAAUGUAAAUGUCGGAUAUAACCUGGUCUUGGCAAGAAAAUGAACCUACAUAGGACUUUGGGAGUUUAUACAACUACAACAUAGAAUGGCCGCAUAUCCGUGUAUACGUCUGAAAAUAAUCUGGUCUUCAAAGAAGUGAUUUAGCCAGGAAGACUUCUAAAAAUGCAUGAGUUGGAACAGAGAUGUAUGAAGCUUUUCCACUGCAAAAUACAGUAUAUGAAAUUGCUGUGGAAGGGGAAUUAUUGUUUUUAAGUCUGAAAUUUGAACAUAUUAUUUAUACUCAAAGUGAAGUCUUCUUAACAUUAUUGUGAGAAAUUUUUUACUAGAAAUUAAGUGUUUGUAAUACAGUUUUGAAAAUUAUCAAAAAAUGAUGUGUAAAUAUGAAAUAAUUUAAAGGAAAGUGUAUAGCUGUUUAUAGGAUAUUCUGUAUUACAACCCCACAAAAGUUACCCCCGGCCUAUGAAGUUUGGUUGCUUUACAGUCCAGUAAAUUGAUCUCAAUGCAAUAUUGACAACAGUUCUGCCAUACUUCAGAAUCCAGAUCAUUUUACCAGUACUUGUGUUACUUUUUAACCUUUACUCCACUUAAUUUCUAAAAUGGACUUUUUCAUCACUCAAUCUGGACAGUACCAGCUUAUUAUUCAGAGGGGUGUACACUGAAAAUUUACUGACUGAAUAGCAAACAGUGCAGACAAUGCUCAGCCUACAAUGCAAAAUGACUUGCCGCCAGCAGGCUGAAGGUUAAACAGGUCCAGACUUUGUUACUUGAAUUUAUACCUAUAAACAAAGCUGUAUUUCUGCAAAGCUGUAUUUCUGUUACAGCAACAAACACCAUAUUUUUUAUGAAAAGCAAUUUUCAUUUGUGCUGCAAACUUCAGAUAUAUGUAAUUUGAAUAAAAUAGAUCUUAUUGAAUGAAUUUAUAUGUACCCUGUAUAUAUAGACCAUGCUUAGGUGAUUUUUCUUUAAAGGUGACCUUUAUUCAUAAGUAAAAAUUAACUGAAAUAUUUAAAUUAAUAGUAAAAUAAGAAAUGAAAUUGCAAGUCUUAGAAGCUCUGAUUGUGGUCUUUGUUCACAUUGAGCCCUGCUCACAGGUGAUCUUUGUUCACAGUUGAGCCCUGUUCACAGGUGAUCUUUGUUCACAGGUGAGCUCUGUUCACAGUUGAGCCCUGUUCACAGAUGAUCUUUGUUAACAGGUGAGCCCUGUUCACAGGUGAUCUUUGUUCACAGGUGAGCCCUGCUCACAGGUGAUCUUUGUUCACAGGUUGUCUUUGUUCACAGGUGAGCCCUGUUCACAGGUGAUCCUUGUUCACAGGUUGUCUUUGUUCACAGUUGAGCCCUGUUCACAGGUGAUCCUUGUUCACAGUUGAGCCCUGUUCACAGGUCAUCUUUGUUCACAGAUGAGCCCUGUUCACAGGUCAUCUUUGUUCACAGGUGAGCCCAAUUCGCAGGUGAUCUUUGUUCACAGGUGAGCCCUGUUCACAGGUGAUCUUUGUUCAUGGUUUUGAUGGUAUAUAUAUGUACUAAUCAUUUAAUACAAUUCCUAUUUUGUUUUUCACUUUUGUACAUUUAGUCAGUUUUUAUCAUAUUUUUACUUGAUAUUGUUAAAUUUAUAAGAUUA